rnacentral:lncRNA from 1 species
AAUUGACUUCUUAACUUAUCCAAAAUGUCUUGAACCAAAUCUAGAGACUCUUAACCAUAAAUUUACAAGAUUUUCACUGAAACACUAGAUUGAAUUCAUUAGUAAACAUAAGAUAUACUCAAAUGCUUUGAGCUCAUCAAAAUCAAAUAGGGUUAUAAUCAAUCACUCCACAAUCUCCCUCUUUUUGAUGAUGACAAAACAUUGAGUAUAUGUAAAGUGAAUUGCUCAAUAAACAAGGAAAUUUAUAAUAAAAUUUUAAAAUGAAUUCAAGUGUCUGGUUAUUUAAUUUAUCCA